AUUGAACGCCGGCGGCAUGCCUUACACAUGCAAGUCGAACGGCAGCACGGGAGCAAUCCUGGUGGCGAGUGGCGAACGGGUGAGUAAUAUAUCGGAACGUGCCCAGUCGUGGGGGAUAACGCAGCGAAGGCUGUGCUAAUACCGCAUACGAUCUAAGGAUGAAAGCGGGGGAUCGCAAGACCUCGCGCGAUUGGAGCGGCCGAUAGCAGAUUAGCUAGUUGGUGGGGUAAAGGCCCACCAAGGCGACGAUCUGUAGCUGGUCUGAGAGGACGACCAGCCACACUGGAACUGGGACACAGUCCAGACUCCUACGGGAGGCAGCAGUGGGGAAUUUUGGACAAUGGGCGCGAGCCUGAUCCAGCAAUGCCGCGUGCAGGAUGAAGGCCUUCGGGUUGUAAACUGCUUUUGUACGGAACGAAACGGCCCUUUCUAAUACAAGGGGCUAAUGACGGUACCGUAAGAAUAAGCACCGGCUAACUACGUGCCAGCCGCCGCCGUAAUAC
rnacentral:rRNA from 1 species